rnacentral:rRNA from 1 species
GGCUAACGCUGGCGGCGUGUCUUAGCCAUGCAAGUCGAGCGGACUUAUGGGGUAACUUAUAAGUCAGCGGCGGACGGCGGAGUAACACGUAGCUAACCUACCCUCUGGACGGGGAUAACCUACCGAAAGGUGGGCUAAUACCCGAUGUAGUCAUCCUGUAUAGGGGUGAUGAAAGGUGGGCUUCUGUUUACAAGCUCAUGCUGGAGGAGGGGGCUGCGGCCUAUCAGGUAGUUGGUAGGGUAAUAGCCUACCAAGCCGAUGACGGGUAGCCGGCCUGAGAGGGUGACCGGCCCGAGGGGCACUGAGAUACGGGUCCCACUCCUACGGGAGGCAGCAGGCUAGAAAUUUGGGCAAUGGGGGAAACCCUGACCCAGUGACGCCGCGUGCAGGAAGGAGCCCUUCGGGGUGUAAACUGCUGUCGUGUAGGGAGAAGGGUACUAAGGUGAACAAUCUUAGUACUUGACGGUACUACAGGAGGAAGCCCAGGCUAACUCGUG